UGGUACUCAACUGACAAGCUGGUUUCGUCACCUUCCACUAGUAGAAUAUUGGUAUAACACGAAUCGUCAUUCAGCCACAGGCAUGUCUCCUUUCGAAGCUUUGUAUGGACGACCUCCUCCUUCCCUCAAACAAUACUCGACCCACAUCUCCUCCACGAUGUCCAUGCCGAAUAACCUACAACAACGUGCACACAUGAUUACCGUGUUAAAACAACAUCUUACACGAGCUCAGCAAAGAAUGAUUGCACAAACUCAAACAGGACGAAGGGAUAUUACCUUUUCGGUGGGUGAUUGGGUACUUCUAAAGCUUCAGCCAUACCGCCAAGUG
rnacentral:lncRNA from 1 species